GUAAGUUGAACCACCGGUGUCGUCUUACAGGAGCGGGCAUCAAACCACCUAAAGGUGCUGUGGUAAAGAGCCACGGUGCUGAGCGUUUAGGAAAAGACUAUCCACGAGAUAGUACAGGU
rnacentral:ncRNA from 1 species